GUAACUUGGAAGAUAGAAAUUCAUAAAAUAAUGUGUACAGUAAACAUGCACAAACACACACUCCUCUUACUGGACUUGAAAGCAGAGCAUUUUGAGAUAGCUUAGGAGAAUGCCAACCAGGAACUUGCACUGUAAUAGUAUUUUAGUUUUGUGAUAAGAGCCUAUCCCCUUCCACAGUAAUCUACGGUUGUAUAUAGAGUUAUUGUUUG